rnacentral:SRP_RNA from 1 species
GCCGGGCGUGGUGGCGAAUGCCUUUAAUCCCAGCUACUCGGGAGGCUGAGGCGGGAGGAUCGCUUGAGCCCAGGAGUUCUGGGCUGUAGUGCACUAUACCGAUCAGGUGUCUGCACUAAGUUUGGCAUCAAUAUGGUGACCUCCCGGGAGCGGGGGACCACCAGGUUGCCUAAGGAGGGGUGAACCAGCCCAGGUUGGAAACAGAGCAGGUCAAAACUCCUGCGCCAAUCAGUAGUGGGAUCGAACCUGUGAACAGCCACUGCACUCCAGCCUGGGCAACAUAGUGAGACCCUGUCUCU